CAGCAUUCUGAGUAAGGAGGCCACCAUCUUCAUCACCAUCAAACAGCCUACUGAUCUUGAUGACAGUGACACACAGGUGCUGGCGCUUCUCAUAGAAGCAAAUGCUUAAGAUCAACACAUUUAUCUCUGGAGAAAAGGGGAAAAGAACCAACCAGUCCAAAGAACAUAUGCAUCUGUCCCUACGCUGCCUUCUGACCACAGGACAAAACCCCAUUGUGGCAAACUCCAUGGGUGGCUGAUGAACACUAUUCCCAACCACUUCUUGCUUCGCUGGCCACUACUACAGAGGCAGAAAAGCUGCGCACUCAUUUUCUCUGCUGCUCUUGAAAUGAGGGGCCACCAUGUGACCCACUUUUGGCCCCUAAGAUGAAUUCACAGCUGAAGUCAACCAGGGCAGAGGGGUUUCUGAGGAAGCUCUUUGCUUUCCUGAAUAAAAGGCAUGGAUAUAGCUAACAUUGCCAUAAGCCCCCUCUGCCUUCCCCCCUUAUCUUUCUUCCAUGCAGACAUGACAGGGUGUAAUAGUGGUCAUCCAGAAUCCAUGAAGUGACACAUAGGAAGAGAAGACCAAUCACAUCAACACUGACCUUGACAUGACUGACACAUGAAAUCCAUGUGAGAAACUGCCUGCCUUUGGACUCCUUUUUACAGAAGAAAAAUAAAGCCAACCUUGUUCGGACCACGAAAGUUGGGUUUUCAGUUAUUUGCAGCCAAAAGCAUUCCGGAGAGAACCAUGCUAGGUGGAAUCCAAAACCCAAAGGCCACAUGCACCUGCACAUUCUGGCUGAAUCCCUGACGCCCCUACCACAGAGACCAGAGGACUACCUGAAGAAGACCAGAUGUUUCUCCUGCUUAUGAUUGCGAAGAAAAUGGACCAGCUGAUUAAAUUUCUCAUCUGCCUUGCAUACCUGCAAAAUAAAAAGGGAAACUAAUAAAAAACAUAUUUGGCAAUAAUAA